CUCUCCCGCUGGAUCUUGCGGAGGGGAGGGCGUGGCCGUUGCCGAGGUCCACCGCCUCCCCUCCGGCCAGAUCUGGCGGAGGGG
rnacentral:pre_miRNA from 1 species